AUACAUUUCUCAACCUUUUGGCUAAGAUAAAGUGUGGUAUAUGUUCUUAUCAGUUUAAUAUCUAAUACGUGGGCAAUUGGCUCACAUGAUAUUAAAUUAACUUUUCUUGGGUGAGGAUCCUUGACAAUAGCUUGCUAUGGCCUGGCACACCCUAUCAAAUCUAAUUGCUAAAUUAGUUUUGUAUUCUUGAU
rnacentral:snRNA from 1 species